rnacentral:rRNA from 1 species
UACAGAGGUCUCAAGCGUUGUUCGGAAUCACUGGGCGUAAAGGGUGCGUAGGCGGCGCCGUAAGUCAGAUGUGAAAGCCCGGGGCUCAACCCCGGAAUUGCAUCCGAUACUGCGGUGCUUGAGAACUGGAGAGGAGUCUAGAAUUUUCGGUGUAGCAGUGAAAUGCGUAGAUAUCGAAAGGAAUACCAAAGGCGAAGGCCGGACUCUGGACAGUUUCUGACGCUGAGGCACGAAGGCCAAGGUAGCGAACGGG